GACCCCCGCAAAAAAGCCAAAGUGGCGGCGGCCGGAGGGGCGCUCUUCAUCCUGGCCGGUCUGGUGGGACUCGUGGGCUGCUCCUGGUACGGCCACAGAAUCAUCACCAACUUCUACGAUCCCCUGGUCCCCGUCAACUACAAGUUCGAGAUGGGCCCCGCGCUGUUCCUGGGCUGGGCGGGGUUGA